GAAAAAGGAAAAGGAGAAAAAAAUCACUAUGGGGAGGAGGCACAGGCCAUGGCUCUGAGGUAUGAGAAUUGCUGCAUUGUCGAAUCUUGCACCCUUCUUUCCUAACUAUAUGUUUCUCCCAUGCAUUGGACUUGGGAUUCUUGGUGGCUCAGGUCUCAGAUAUUGCAAGCAGGUGCAUGUGGGUAACAUGCUGAAGAUAGCAUGACAUGUGGAGGGGAGGCACAAGAUUUCUUAUGGCCUAGAGAGUAUAACUCUAUUGUUGCUGAACAAUCUGCAGGCAAGGGAAUGUAGGGGAUUAAACUUGUGGAGUUGUUGACCAGCUUUAAGCUGGAUUAAUUCAGGCUGCAAAAGGUACUUAACUAAGACUCUGGAAUAACUGUUCAGCAAAUCAUUUGGCACAUGACACAACGAAUCUCAGUCUUCAGGCAAUACCAGUAUCUUUCUGUUUACUGGAUUCCUUCAUGUGGAUUACACGUUGAACUCACUGUGGACUGUGGUUUGCAGGGGCCUGGAUGCAUACACGACUCUAUGUGUCUGGAAUAAGUUUAUGGCUGAAACGUGCACUGCCGCUAAUAGCAGAAUCUGGCCAUUUUGAGUGUGGAACGAUAGAAAGUGAGGCUGUGUCUCAGUUAAGCCAAAAGAGUGGUCAAUGGACACAAGUGACCUUUGGAUAAGAGCUCUGAUUUUCUUAAAAGGCAAUGGCUCUAGCUCGAUAAAUACUGGAGUACCUACUCUAGCUAGCAAAACCUUAAAAAGAAGAGAAGAGGCAGAUGUUCUUGAGCACCUCGGCUGUUCUGUGGAUAAACCUGUGAACUUUUUGUCGUCGUCAGAAGCCAUCAGGAUCUAUCUGAUUGGUCGACUGAUAGCUGACGGGCCGGGAGGCUGGUCUCAGUCGGAGCUUUGCCUAGCUUUACAAAGCUUUUGGGAACGGUGAUGUAUGCAUAUGCAGACCUGCAGUGUGAGAUCCAUGUGGACUUGAUCAAAGCAUUUGGUGGCAACUGGCAAGUGACAGCAUAUUUAGAGUUUUCCUGAAAACCUUCCGUGUUAGACUGGAACAGUGCUGGUUGGUGGUUACUCCGUCCGGUUUUUAAUAGGUUUUCAAUAUGUGCCGUUUCAACUUUAGACAUGUAUUUAACCAUUUGUUUUAUCUUAAAUAUUGUGUAAUUAU
rnacentral:lncRNA from 1 species